GAUCCAGUAAGCCUGGCGUCACAACCCCUAUAAAUACGACGUCGCGGGAUUGUGACGUCCUCCAGGAAGACGGUGUGUUAGCGGUUGCCUCCACUCCUCGACAUGAGAGCCAAGUGGAGAAAGAAGCGCAUGCGCAGGCUGAAGCGCAAAAGGAGAAAGAUGAGGCAGAGGUCCAAGUAAACUGUCUUCUCUGCCAUGGCUGUGACUUCCAAUGUUUCAAACAAGCUGACUAGAAGAGCACAGCCAGAGACCCAGGACCCCCCCCCUCUUGUCUUGAAGCCAGCGGUGUCCAAAUCGACCUGAUGCUGCAGAGCUGAUCCAAGACCCCUGGAUGUCAGGCUUUUCCACUGGGACUUUCUGAACUCCUGUUCUUAAUUCCUCAACUUUUUUCAUUUGUUUUUGUCUUUGAUUAAAGGUUUUGGUUUAAAAAAAA